rnacentral:rRNA from 1 species
GACGAACGCUGGCGGCGCGCCUAACACAUGCAAGUCGAACGAGCGAGAGAGAGCUUGCUUUCUCGAGCGAGUGGCGAACGGGUGAGUAACGCGUGAGGAACCUGCCUCAAAGAGGGGGGACAACAGUUGGAAACGACUGCUAAUACCGCAUAAGCCCACAGGUCGGCAUCGACCAGAGGGAAAAGGAGCAAUCCGCUUUGAGAUGGCCUCGCGUCCGAUUAGCUAGUUGGUGAGGUAAUGGCCCACCAAGGCGACGAUCGGUAGCCGGACUGAGAGGUUGAACGGCCACAUUGGGACUGAGACACGGCCCAGACUCCUAUGGGAGGCAGCAGUGGGGAAUAUUGCACAAUGGGGGAAACCCUGAUGCAGCGACGCCGCGUGGAGGAAGAAGGUCUUCGGAUUGUAAACUCCUGUUGUUGAGGAAGAUAAUGACGGUACUC